rnacentral:rRNA from 1 species
UACAGAGGUGGCGAGCGUUAUUCGGAAUUAUUGGGCGUAAAGGGCGCGUAGGCGGCCAGAUAAGUCCCGGGUGAAAUCCCUCGGCUCAACCGAGGAACUGCCUUGGAAACUGUCUGGCUCGAGGCCGGGAGAGGGUAGUGGAAUUCCCAGUGUAGCGGUGAAAUGCGUAGAUACUGGGAGGAACACCGGUGGCGAAGGCGGCUACCUGGACCGGUUCUGACGCUGAUGCGCGAAAGCGUGGGGAGCAAACAGGAUUAGAUACCCCAGUAGU